rnacentral:rRNA from 1 species
UACAGAGGGUGCAAGCGUUGCGCGGAUUUACUGGGCGUAAAGCGUACGCAGACGGUGAGAAAGGUCGGAUGUGAAAGCCCCGGGCUCAACCCGGGAACUGCAUCCGAAACCAUCUCGCUAGAGUAUGAGAGAGGGAAGCAGAAUUCCUGGUGUAGAGGUGAAAUUCGUAGAUAUCAGGAGGAAUACCUGCGGCGAAGGCGGCUUCCUGGCUCAUUACUGACGUUCAGGUACGAAAGCGUGGGUAGCAAACAGG